GGAACUUCAGAGGAGGACACAGUACUGGGCCCUAGGAGGGAGAGAUUGAAAAAUCUCCUUUCUCCAAGCCCAGUUUAGCAAUGGGACAUUUCACACAGAUACAUUUGCUCUGGUUGUUUGGGAGAAUCCACCAGGUGGAGCAGGAGCUGAUGAGACCCCACUGAAGCAUUGGACCUUGGAGCAUGGGGCCUUCCCCAGGGAUAUUCUCAGUGGAUAUCUGUUGAAUGAAUGAAAGAGUGAAUAUACA
rnacentral:lncRNA from 1 species